rnacentral:lncRNA from 1 species
CAUCGCACGUUAUAGCUGUGUUACUAAAUUCGGGAAAUUAUUAUUUUCACUUUUACUUUUAAAUACUUAAUUAUCUUAAACUAGAAAUGAUAGAUUACCAAAAAUACUAUUGAGCUUUUUAACAUAUUUUAAUAACAGGCCUAUUUUAAAGUGCUAAAGUGUAUACAUGUUAAUAAUAAACUUACAAAUUUAAACAAUUAUUUUAAACUAACGUACUGGCUUUCAACUGGACGGGAUUUAUUAUUGUACCUAAGUGAAAUAAGUUCGAGGGGGAUCAACUGUUUUAUUAAAUUCCUCCGUCGACUCUCAACAAACUACGCUGAGUGCGAUGUCCUAGGAAAAUAUGAGAUAGUCUUCGAGAGGAAUCAGCGACUAUGGGUCGCAACUCCAACAACUUGGAGUCCAAUGGAGAACUUCGGGUGUUACUGGUAGUGACCGUAAUAGUGGGAUUAUUGCUCAUGUUGUCACUCCUUAUGUGUUACGCCUGUGUGUUGAAGAGACUCUGCUGUGGCACGCCGAGGGAGCGAGCGAAACAUGUCGCCUGCGCUAGGAGAACUGAAAGCUACCCCAUGGGAGACAUCACUCUACUCUCCCAGCCGACGGAAAGCGAACGCGUUUGAACUUAUAAAUGGGUUAAAAUCACGAAUAUGUACUUUAACAUGUUAACAAUGUGACCUAGAAGUGAGUUUUCUGGAAUUGCGUAGUCUCAAGCUUGUUCUACUCACAAGCUUGAGACUACGCAAUCAGGCCGAGAAAGUACUUCUUCAUAUUUGAGAUAAAUAUAGAUAGCUACUUAUCUAUUAUAAUAUCGAAACAACGGAAGUAUAUGUUAAAAAAUGAUCUGAGGUUGUAAGUAUUUCGAUGUUUAUGUACCCGGUGUUGAUCGUAAGAUAAUAUUUAUGUAAGUAUAUUUGGUUAAAGGGGUAAAACGUCAUACUCGGUGUUAUCUUUGGCCUAGUCAUCUAGCCUUCAUCUAAUAGGGUAUUUGUUGUCAACGUGUAAAUUAUAAAAUGCUAACCUAGGAAUAGAAGCCUAUCUCACUGAGAUGAUUAAAAAUCGAAUCCAUUUUACUUUUUAUCUGAUUUACGACUUAUAAAGUGUGAUGAUCACGCGACGGUAUUUUCAUCCUUGAAGAUUUUCAUUUCGUCGUUUCAAAAAAAGCUAUCUCAUUUGACUAGAUUGUCAAGUAGCCCAUUGAAGUCCUAAUCUGGGUAUAAGCGGAGGUCGGUGUUGCUCUAUGGAGUAUAAUGAACUGUGCUGACAGGUCACCAACACCAACCUAUCGUGAAAUAUCAUGCCGAAGAGUUUUUAUGACUGGUCCAUCCACGAUGAUGUGCAGCUGAGAAUAUAUUACAGGUUUCUUUUUCUAUAUUCCCAGUCUAGCAGAAAAGUAUGUUUAUAUCUUAUUACAAGUAGGUAAGAAAAUCCCUGUAUGAAGAAAAUGAAAUGCUUCUAUUAUUAUAACAAUUAUAUUGUAUAAUAUAUAAUAUUGUAUGUACAAUAAACAUGGAACAAGGCAGGUGAACUACAGUGAAAGCACCUAUAAUUAUUGUCCAAAUACUUAAACCCGCUCAAUAUACAAAUAGAUAAUGUACCUAUAACCAUGAAUAACAUUUUAUAUCAUUGUUAUCAUACAAAA